GGAGAUGGGAAAAUGCUGGAAAAAUGCCUUCCACAGUGGAGAAAAGUGUGAAUACACGAUUGAGUUUCUCGCGACUGCGGCAAAACGCGGCGAAAAUUGACAGCUGACUGAAUGAGUAAUUGCGCUUAAUUUCUUGUGGAAAAUGCCUGGCUUAAACACUUGGAGAUUUCCCGUACUCUUUGGCAGCUUCCUGGCAUUUGCAGCCGUUGGUUUGAGCUACAGAGAAAAACUCUUCCCAGACAUGGAAGCAGAGAGACAGAAGUUUUGGGCAGACGAUCCAACCAGCAGAAAACUCUUACAGGAAACCAUUGAAGAGUUGAAGAAGAAG